GUACGGGAGGCAGCAGUGAGGAAUAUUGGACAAUGGGCGAAAGCCUGAUCCAGCAACGCCGCGUGGGUGAUGAAGGCCUUCGGGUUGUAAAGCCCUGUCUGGUGGGAAGAUGGGGUCCGGCCAACACCCGGAUCUUGACGGUACCACCGAAGGAAGCACCGGCUAACUCCGUGCCAGCAGCCGCGGUAAUACGGAGGGUGCAAGCGUUGUCCGGAAUUACUGGGCGUAAAGCGUGUGCAGGCGGCUCGUUAUGUCGGGUGUGAAAUCCCUCGGCUCAACUGAGGAACUGCGCCCGAAACUGGCGAGCUUGAGUGCGGUAGGGGGAGGUGGAAUUCCCGGUGUAGAGGUGAAAUUCGUAGAUAUCGGGAAGAAUACCGGUGGCGAAGGCGACCUCCUGGCCCGUAACUGACGCUCAGACACGAAAGCGUGGGGAGCAAACAGGAUUAGAUACCCCGGUAGUCCC
rnacentral:rRNA from 1 species